AACCCUAAUUUCUUGCAUCCGUCGUUUCCUUCUUUUCAAACAACCAUUAAACUUUUAGAAAAGAAAAAAAGAACUAGGCAGCUUACAACAUCGACCAAAACCCUCUCUCAAAUUGUUACCAUUGCCUCGUCUAUUUUCUUUUCACCUCUCAAUGACCUCUCUCUCUCUCUCUCUCCCUCUCCCUCUCUCUCCCUCAUUGGUCAUGGAUUUCCUUCUCUUCCAUUCAUGAAUCUAAAAAAAACUAAAAUAAAAAUAGAAAAUUAAACCUCACUCAAGGUAAAACUCGGCUCAAACAACAUCAUAAGCAGAAAAUCUAGAUCAUAAAAAAAACUUAACCAUGAAAUUUAUUCAGUUUAGCCAAAAUAAAAUGAAUUGCAACAAUAAAUCAUGGGGGAAAUGAUUAUAGCAUGUUCAGAGAGUGGAAUCAACAGAAAAAUCGUGAAAAGAAUCAACGAAAUACCCAAACCAGAGAUUCAAAGUUCCCAGAAUUCGGUGAGUCCUAUGAAUUUUUCGACUGCAGACGAACUUUUCGACGAGGUUUUAAACAUGGCUUGUGCACCAAGAAGAUGCCUCAAAAUAUGCAAAGAGAAAGGAGGGUUUGCAUUGUAUACUGAUGGAUAUGGCAUGGGAAGUUGAAAUGAAUUGGGUUUUAGAAGUUAGAUUUAGGCCUUGUCAACUUAUGGUUUAGGUUUUCUUCUUUGUAAAUUCAAAUGUAAGGCAAUGUGAAAUGUUACUUUGUAACUUGUAAAACUUCUCAAAACUUGAUCAUAAUUGAAAAAAUGAGAGUGGCAACUUAUGUUA